AAGGGAGACCUAAUUCGGGUAUAAGACGAAAAAAUAGUAGUCGAAACCAAGAAUCAAUCCCAAAAGGUCGGAACGAGGUAUGUGGCUUUCAAACUAGGUUCUGGGUUCAUAAAAGACCUGAAUCAGGAACAAGGGCUAUUAGCUCAGGUGGUUAGAGCGCACCCCUGAUAAGGGUGAGGUCCCUGGUUCGAGUCCAGGAUGGCCCACCUGCACAGGUGGCAAAAACAAAGAAAAGAAGCGAGGAAUCAGCACCUUAUCUUACUUAUAUAGUAAGAGAGAAUGCUGGCUCUGAGUUCAGAGUCCAGAGGAACCUUGAAAACUGCAUAGAGCUAGGUGAAAAAGCCAAAAAAGAAGACCACAA
rnacentral:tRNA from 1 species